rnacentral:rRNA from 1 species
CCUACGGGAGGCUGCAGUGAGGAAUAUUGGUCAAUGGGCGGGAGCCUGAACCAGCCAAGCCGCGUGAGGGAAGAAGGUACAGCGUAUCGUAAACCUCUUUUGUCAGGGAACAAAGGCGGGGACUAGUCCCCGGCUGAGGGUACCUGAAGAAAAAGCAUCGGCUAACUCCGUGCCAGCAGCCGCGGUAAUACGGAGGAUGCGAGCGUUAUCCGGAUUUAUUGGGUUUAAAGGGUGCGCAGGCGGCCUGUUAAGUCAGCGGUAAAAGCCCGGGGCUCAACCCCGGCGAGCCGUUGAAACUGGGGGGCUGGAGUUGGAGAGAAGUAAGCGGAAUGCGAGGUGGAGCGGUGAAAUGCUUAGAUAUCGCGCAGAACCCCGAUUGAGAAGGCAGCGUACCGGCUCCACACUGACGCUGAGGCACGAAAGCGUGGGUAUCGAACAGGAUUAGAUACCCGGGUAGUC